AAGCCCUCAAGUAGGUGUUGGAGAGAGGGGUGAUGCCUGGUGCUGGUGGAACCCCUGCACAGAGACGGACACAGGAUGAGCUCUAAGUACCCGCGGUCUGUCCGGCGCUGCCUGCCCCUCUGGGCCCUAACACUGGAAGCAGCUCUCAUUCUCCUCUUCUAUUUUUUUACCCACUAUGACGCUUCCUUAGAGGAUCAAAAGGGGCUCGUGGCAUCCUAUCAAGGGGCUGGGAAGUCUGCAUGCUGUCUAUAAAUCCAG
rnacentral:lncRNA from 1 species